CCGUUGCCGGCGACCGGCGCACGGGUGAGUAACACGUAUGCAACCUGCCCGUGGCAGGGGGAUAAGCGGGGGAAACCCCGUCUAAUACCGCGUAACGCGGCCUAGGGACAUCCCAAGGCCGCCAAAGGGAGCAAUCCCGGCCACGGGAUGGGCAUGCGGCGCAUUAGCUAGUCGGCGGGGUAACGGCCCACCGAGGCGACGAUGCGUAGGGGUCCUGAGAGGAACGGCCCCCCACACUGGUACUGAGACACGGACCAGACUCCUACGGAAGGCAGCAG
rnacentral:rRNA from 1 species